CAGGGACCAGCCAUUACAGAUGGAGGUUAGUGGUCAGGGACCAGCCAUUACUGAUGGAGGGUAGUGGUCAGGGACCAGCCAUUACUGAUGGAGGUUAGUGGUCAGGGACCAGUCAUUACUGAUGGAGGUUAGUGGUCAGGGACCAGCCAUUACUGAUGGAGGUUAGUGGUCAGGGACCAGUCAUUACUGGUGGAGGGUAGUGGUCAGGGACCAGCCAUUACUGAUGGAGGGUAGUGGUCAGGGCCCAGUCAUUACUGAUGGAGGUUAGUGGUCAGGGACCAGCCAUUACUGAUGGAGGUUAGUGGUCAAGGACCAGUCAUUACUGAUGGAGGUUAGUGGUCAGGGCCCAGUCAUUACUGAUGGAGGUUAGUGGUCAGGGACCAGCCAUUACUGAUGGAGGUUAGUGGUCAAGGACCAGUCAUUACUGAUGGAGGUUAGUGG
ensembl:lncRNA